GAAAUGCGAUAAGUAGUGUGAAUUGCAGAAUUCAGUGAAUCAUCGAAUCUUUGAACGCACAUUGCGCCCCUUGAUAUUCCAUGGGGCAUGCCUGUUCGAGCGUCAUUUGUACCCUCAAGCUCUGCUUGGUGUUGGGUGUUUGUCCCGUCUCCGCGCGUGGACUCGCCCCAAAGUGAUUGGCAGCCGGCGUACUGGUCCCGGAGCGCAGCACAUGUCGCGCAAACGAGUGCCUUGGUACGGCGGCGUCCAUAAGCCCCUCUCUCACGCUCUUGACCUCGGAUCAGGUAGGGAUACCCUCUGAACUUAAGC
rnacentral:misc_RNA from 1 species